rnacentral:hammerhead_ribozyme from 1 species
AUCCAGUUGGAGAGUCCCAAAUAGGACGAAACGCGAGUCCUAAAU